rnacentral:rRNA from 1 species
UCUAAGUAUCACCUGCCAGACAGGGAAACUGCGUACGGCUCAUUACACCAGCCUUAAUUUACUUGACCUUGACCACCUACUUGGAUAACUGUGGUAAUUCUAGAGCUAAUACAUGCACCAAAGCUCCGAUCCUCGCGGAGAGGAGCGCAUUUGUUCGCCACAAAACCAAGCCCCCAUCUGGGCGUCCAGUGCUGAACCAGAACAACUCAGCUGAUCGCACGGUCUUGUACCGGCGACGUGUCUUUCAAGUGUCUGCCUUAUCAACUUUCCAUGGUAGUGUACCUGACUACCAUGGUUGUGACGGGUAACGGAGGAUAAGGGUUCGACUCCGGAGAAGGGGCCUGAGAAAUGGCCACUACGUCUAAGGAUGGCAGCAGGCGCGCAAAUUACCCACUCUCAACGCGAGGAGGUACUGACGAGAAAUAACGAGACCGUUCUCAUACGAGGCCGGUUAUUGGAAUGGGUACAAUUUAAA